rnacentral:tRNA from 1 species
GGAACACCCGUUGGUCAGCUUGACCCGCCUUUGCAAGGCAGGGGUUAGGGGUUCGAGUCCCCUGGGCUCCACCA